CAUGGAUGGGCCCUCCCUCUCUCAGAGGAUGAAAAGGAGGAGGAACAGAUCAGGGGAGGUCUGCUCAGCUGUGGGCCCACAGAAGGCAGGAUCAGUGAUGACCUCCACCAUGGCCUGGUCCCCUCUCCUGCUCACCCUCCUCAUUCACUGCACAGGAUCUUGGGCCCAGUCUGUGCUGACUCAGCCUCCAUCAGUGACUGGGGCCCUAGGCCAGAAGGUCACCAUCUCCUGCACCGGAAGCAGCACCAACAUCGGUAUUGUUGGUGUGAACUGGUACCAACAGCUCCCAGGAAAGGCCCCUAAACCCCUCAUCUAUGCUAAUAGCAAUCGACCCUCUGGGGUCCCUGACAGAUUUUCUGGCUCCAAGUCUGGCAACUCAGGCUCUUUGACCAUCAGUGGGCUCCAGGCUGAGGAUGAGGCUGAUUAUUACUGCCAGUCUGCUGACACAGUGCUCUAG